rnacentral:lncRNA from 1 species
GAACAUGUCUUCUGGAUUUUCUUCCGAUGCCACUUUCUCUACCAUGAUCUCCUUUGUCUCAAUCAUGUCUCUGACGAAGUGCAAACGAAUGUCAAUGUGUUUUGUUCUUUCAUGAUAUACCUGAUGAUUUGCCAAAUGAAUGGCACUUUGGCUAUCACAAUGUAUCUUCACACACCCUUGACUAAUCCCCAUUUCUCCAAUCAUACCUUUCAACCAUAUGGCUUCCUUGACCCCUUCAACAAGGGCUAUGUACUCUGCUUGAGUUGUUGAAAG